GACGAACGCUGGCGGCGUGCUUAACACAUGCAAGUCGAACGGAAAGGCCCUGCUUUUGUGGGGUGCUCGAGUGGCGAACGGGUGAGUAACACGUGAGUAACCUGCCCUUGACUUUGGGAUAACUUCAGGAAACUGGGGCUAAUACCGGAUAGGAGCUCCUGCUGCAUGGUGGGGGUUGGAAAGUUUCGGCGGUUGGGGAUGGACUCGCGGCUUAUCAGCUUGUUGGUGGGGUAGUGGCUUACCAAGGCUUUGACGGGUAGCCGGCCUGGGAGGGUGACCGGCCACAUUGGGACUGAGAUACGGCCCAGACUCAUACGGGGGGCAGCAGUGGGGAAUAUUGCACAAUGGGCGGAAGCCGGAUGCAGCAACGCCGCGUGCUGGAUGACGGCCUUCGGGUUGUAACCCGCUUUCGCCUGUGACGAAGCGUGAGUGACGGUAAUGUGUAAAGAAGCACCGGCUAACUACGUG
rnacentral:rRNA from 1 species